UACGUAGGGUGCAAGCGUUGUCCGGAAUUAUUGGGCGUAAAGAGCUCGUAGGUGGCCUGUCGCGUCGGCUGUGAAAACUCGGGGCUCAACUCCGAGCUUGCAGUCGAUACGGGCAGGCUAGAGUUCGGCAGGGGAGACCGGAAUUCCUGGUGUAGCGGUGAAAUGCGCAGAUAUCAGGAGGAACACCGGUGGCGAAGGCGGGUCUCUGGGCCGAUACUGACACUGAGGAGCGAAAGCGUGGGGAGCGAACAGG
rnacentral:rRNA from 1 species